UGCACCCUUUAACCGUAGAUACAUUCGUUAAAAAAACGAUUUGAUACCAACAUAUGACGUUCAGCUAUUUUUUUAAGCCAACAUUGGCAGUUUCGGUCAUGUGGGGUUUUAAAGUCCUCGCACUGGCGAAUUCAUGACGUCAUUUUUGCCACAACAGUGGGCCUUCUGACGUGACGUUUUUGCGGGGAAAGUAUGGACAGAAUUGUCUGGCUAAAUGGACUAUACGGUGAGGGCGAAUGAAGAAGAGAUAAACAGACGGAUGGCACACAUCACUCUCAUCUUGGUGACCUGCUGUACUUUGAUUUCUCCGUCUUUCCCUCACCUUCAUUUCCUCCAAACCUUUCCUGUCCUCCCUCGAGUGUCUUUCUCAUUUUAUGGCUUUUUCUCUUCUUCUAUCCCUCUCCGGUCGUCUCUCAUUUAGUACAGUCAGCAUACUGUCCAUACUUUCUCCUACUCUUGUUUCAGCUGGUACUGGGCGUAGCUCUAUCCCUGUAUCCCUCUCUCAGGAAAGGUGGGGUUGCUGGUGCCUACUCUACAGAAAUAAUCCAGGGUCUUUCAAAUUGGUUGGGUUUGUUUUAGGUGACCUGGUCACUUUCCUCCCCAUAUUUUUGCAAUUCUUUUCGCGCCGUGUGAAGAUGCAAGAAGACGCCAAUGCUCGGCAUUCCUUUAUAUCCUCACCUCUUUCUCUGAUCUGUCCAUUCCACUCUCCCUCUCUCGCUCUCUCUCUCUCUCCUCAUCCUUAAAUUCUCAAACGCUGAAUCAGCUGCUUGGGAACGGACGCUCCCCCUACCUCUAGGAUCCACGCACGAGCCGCCAGCUUUCCCUGGUUCCGAUCCCGAGCUGUUUCCCCGGCCUAAAUUUGGGAUUUUGGCACACACAUAGGGGUCUUUUUCUAAAAUGCUUUGCUAAAGCUGGUAAAAUGGAACCAAAUCAACUGUUUUAUGGAUUUGGUCCCCUUCAACCAGCUGUAGCUGUGCAUUGAUCAGCUGCGACAGAUGGAAACGAGCACACGUGCUAACCUUUCCUGUCCCUGCAUAUUCGCCAUUACGUGGAUCUAAGCUUACAGUGCACACCGGCCAUGUCCAACUCAGGGCACCUUUGAAUGCAUGUUUCUUAAGCACUAAUAUAAUGAUUAAAAAGUCAUUGUGCUUUUAAAACCCAGGUGAGUAUUAUAUAUGUCAUGGGAUUUAUUAUACAUGAGCUAUAAUUGUUGAUUAUGUAUUCAACCAAAAUCACUAUUAUUGGAAAGUGGGCUCUUUAUGGCCACCGAUUGAUUUCACGUCUCUCCACUGGAUGAACGAGAGGGGGAUGAGCUGAGGUGGAUGGAUGUGGGGAAUGAGUGAGGGGGUGCAUGUCAAGCUGUUGAAUAAGUAAAACGUUUCGUUCGACUUUAUCCCUCACUAUUUUUUCCUUCUAUGCUUGUCGUGAUUCUUAAUGCACACACCUGAUCAAUAAAAGCUCAUCUUGAAGUUCAUAAACUGCUGAAGUGGUUUUUGGAGUGAAACAGAUUAUUCAGCGGGAAAUAAUGUUGGGAGGGGACUUGAUUUUAUCUCUUGGGAUUUUAUAGGAUUGAAACAUUAUGCUACGAUGCUACUGGCCAACAUUAUUUUUGCCAUGCCCAUAUGGCCUCAGCAACAUCAACAGAAGAGCUGAAGAAGCUGGAGAAAUGUAUAAGUAAAACUUUGAGAAAAAAACAAACAUUUUAUUGUCUUUAGAUCAACUUUGAAUCGGGUACAAAAUGUACAUUGUGUUAAUGAUUCGCCACAUGGUGUGCAGUAUCAGCGUUUUAAUGACCAGCUGGAGGGUGUGUCCUGUGCAGCUGAGACACUUAUAUUGUAUUUUUCAACUGAUGGUGCUUGUGCUGUUACGAACGAUGUAAACUGUUAUGUCCUACACUUGCUUAUAUUUCUUGUCAGCCUCUGUACAACACUUUGGUGGUUUUGGUUUGUACAAACAUUUAAAAGAUCAUGUGUUCA